rnacentral:lncRNA from 1 species
GUCCACCCCUGGAGUGCAGUGAGCUCGGCUCCCUGCGGCUUUGACCUCCCGGGCUCAGGCAAUCCUCCCGCCUCAGUCCACGGAGUAGAUGGGACCACAGGAGCCCACCACGCCCGACUACUUUUUGUAAUUUUUGUAGGGAUGGGGUCUAGCCAUGCUGCCCAGGCUGGUCCGAACUGCUGGGCUCAAGAGCUCCGCCCGCCUCCGCCUCCCAAAGGGCAGGGAUCACAGGUGUGAGCUACCGCGCCCCGCCCAGAGUUUCCGACUGUUAGCGUGAAUCACAUUCACCUCAAAACUAUUUAUACAAGAACUGAAAGGCAAACCAAGUCCGUGCUCCAUCACUUCCUGUCCCAGGUCGCGGGGCCGGACAUUUUCUCCAAGCGCCUUCCUGGCACAGCGCGCAGGCGGCCUGCGCCAAAGCUCUCGCUUCCUCCAGGCUCCCAGACCCCGCCCGCCCCGCAGGCGCCAGGGCGUUGCCUGGCAACUUAGCUGCGAGGGGAUUGGCUGCGCGGGACCCCGUGACCAUCCCGGAGACCACGCAUUUCCUGCGCCCCCGGAAGUGGCGAUAAUGCCAGGCCCUGCCCUCGGCAGAGGCGGAAGCGGAGUCGGCCCUGAGAAGUCUCCCGUCGCUGCAGGCGCCUCAGCCCAGCCGCGUGCCUUGGCCCAUGGCCGCCUACUCUUACCGCCCCGGCCCUGGGGCAGGCCCUGGGCCUGCUGCAGGCGCGGCGCUGCCGGACCAGAGCUUCCUGUGGAACGUUUUCCAGAGGGUCGAUAAAGACAGGAGUGGAGUGAUAUCGGACACCGAGCUUCAGCAAGCUCUCUCCAACGGUGAAACUGCACUGAGAAGGUAUUUGUGGCCCGUAUGCUGAUUCAUUGAUGAGACCUCUUUGCACAGGAGAGCUGCUAAAAAUUACUGUGGUGAACAGGUAUGAAGAAGAAGACUGUUCUCUGCCCUUCUUUUUGCAAUAAAAUGUUACAAACUAUCUUGAGUUUGAUCCCUUUUCGGGUGUUUGGGUUUUUUUUAACAUUCACAUAUUUCUUGGAAUUAUAAGAAAUUAACUUUGUGCUUCUGAAGUGGGUUUGCCUUAAUAUAACACUGAUUAUUUGUAAGGGGCAUUUUUAAAGCUGUACUUUAAAAAAUAAUAAUUCUUACAUUCGUUUGAAGGUUUUUUGUUUGUUUGUUUGUUUGUUUGUUUGUUUUUGAGAUGAAGGCUUGCUCUGUCACCCAGGCUGGAGUGCAAUGGCAUUGAUCUUGGCUCACUGCAACCUCUGCAUCUGGAGUUCAAGCGAUUCUCCUGCCUCAGCCUCCUGAGUAGCUGGGACUACAGGCACCUGCCACCACGCCCAGCUAAUUUUUUGUAUUUUUAAUAGAGAUGGGGUUUCGCCGUGUUAGCCAGGAUGGUCUCAAUCUCCUGACCUCGUGGUCCGCCCACCUCAGCCUCCCAAAGUGCUGGGAUUACAGGCGUGAGCCAGGGGGCCAACGUGGUGAAACCCUAUCUCUACUAAAAAUACAAAAUUAGCUGGGAAUGGUGGUGUGCACCUGUAAUCCCAGCUACUCGGGAGGCUGAGGCAUGAGAAUCACUUGAACCCGGGAGGCAGAGGUUGCAGUGAGCUGAGAUAGCGCCACUGCACUCCAGCCUGGGGGACAGUGAGACUCCAUCUCAAAAAAA